CUACGGGUCGCAGCAGUGGGGAAUAUUGCACAAUGGGCGCAAGCCUGAUGCAGCCAUGCCGCGUGUAAGAAGAAGGCCUUCGGGUUGUAAAGUACUUUCAGCGGGGAGGAAGGGAGUAAAGUUAAUACCUUUGCUCAUUGACGUUACCCGCAGAAGGAGCACCGGCUAACUCCGUGCCAGCAGCCGCGGUAAUACGGAGGGUGCAAGCGUUAAUCGGAAUUAUUGGGCGUAAAGCGCACGCAGGCGGUUUGUUAAGUCAGAUGUGAAAUCCCCGGGCUCAACCUGGGAACUGCAUCUGAUACUGGCAAGCUUGAGUCUCGUAGAGGGGGGUAGAAUUCCAGGUGUAGCGGUGAAAUGCGUAGAGAUCUGGAGGAAUACCGGUGGCGAAGGCGGCCCCCUGGACGAAGACUGACGCUCAGGUGCGAAAGCGUGGGGAGCAAACAGGAUUAGAUACCCCCGUAGUC
rnacentral:rRNA from 1 species